rfam:Lasallia pustulata genome assembly, contig: scaffold475_size37941
GGCAAGUAUAGAAAGAGAUUAUUAUGGAUCCACAGCUAUAUAUCAAAGAGUUUUAAAUUGCUUAGCCUACAAUAUUAGGCGGGGAGUUUGCGAUAUUCUCCGGGAUAUCCUGCCCUACCUGUAUUGUACGGAAACUUGGUAAAGUCCAAGUUAUAGCAUGAACUCUUAGAGAAAUUAAUUAAUAAACGGAGUGAAUUGAAACAUCUUAUUAACUUCAGGAAAAGAAAUCAAACGAGAUUCUACGAGUAGUGUGAAUGAAAGUGGAAAAGCCUAAACUUCAAUAAGUAAAAUGGAGUGCAUACCUGUUUGAAUAAAGGGGAACCUUCCUCUAAGGCUAAAUAUGAUAUAUAAGCGCUAGUGAUUAGUACCGUGAGGGAAAAGAUUGAAAUAGUAAUUUUAUAAGCAGCUCUAAAAUAGUUUAAAUAAAAAAAUAAGAGCGUACCUUUUGCAUAAUGGGUCAGCAAGUUAAUAUUAGAUGCGAGCAGGAAUGCUAAGAUAAAUCAAUUAUGACAUAAUGAUGUAGUAUCUAAAAUUAGACCCGAAGCCUAGUGAUCUUAUCUUGAUCAGGGUUAUAAAAGCCCGAACGGGUUAUCGUUGUAAAGAUAUCCGAAGAAUUUAGAUAAGUUAGUGAAAGACAAAACUGACUAGGAAAGCUGGUUUUCCGCGAAACCUAUAUAAGUAGGUAAUUUAUAUAAGAUCAUAGCAGGUACAGAACUUGUUCAUGUACAACUUGCACUAAAAAAGUGCUCUUUGUUCACGUGGGGGGGUCGGAAGAUUCUACUCGCUAGUAGUUGACCUCGGAAGGGUUAUGAUGACUAUAUAAUAAUCAGACAUAGUUCGCUAAGGUUGUAUGUCUAAAGGGAAACAGCCCAGAACAAGAGUUAAUAAGGUUCCAAAAUUAUUGUUAAGUGAAAAUAAGGAAGUUUGCAUCCAAUUCAGCCAGGAGAUAGGCUUAGAUGCGGCCAUUUUUUAAAGACCUCGUAACAGAGCACUGGUUCAGUAAAUUAUUUUUAUAAUUUCUAGUGAUAAUAGCACCAAAAAUUUAACGGAUCUAAACAAUAUACCGAGACCUUGUCCAUAUUUAUCUAUAUAUCUAAGUUGUAUAUUGUAUUUAUGGGGUAGCGGAACAUUGGGCAAAUCUAAGAUUUUUUCUUUAAAAGACUUAAGAUAAGAUAACCCAAGUGAUAAUGCUGACAUGAGUAACGAUAAAGGGAAUGAAUUAUUCCCUCGCCUAAAACUUAUGGUAUUUACUUAAAGUAACGGCCUCUAAGUUUAUGAACCUAAAGGACUAAACGAUGAGAAAAUCUACCACCCGCUCAUUUAAUUCAUUCCUUCUGGGAAAUUAAGUUAAAACAAAUAACCUUUGUGCAUAGACUAUAUCUAGGUAUUUACUUUGGGGACGGUACCUAGAUAUUUUUUUGUGUUAAAGUGACAAGGGUUCUGGAUAAGUUAGGAGUAAAGUGGUGCAUCAUGCAUAAUAUAGGGAGGACGCAAUAUCCUGCCUAGUGUGUGUGGUGUAACGACUACCGUACCUAGAAACUACCCCCAGUAAGUUAGUAGAGAAUACGAAGGCGUUUGAGUGAACAAUCAUUAAGGAACUCGGCAAAUUGGCUCACGUAACUUCGGGAUAAGGAGGGCCACUCUUUUGAUUAAUAUAGCUAAAGAGGAGGAGGCACGGAAUGAUGUUGUACGACUGUUUAAUUAAAACAAAGCACUUUGCAAAGACAAUAAUUCAAAGUAUUGAGUGUGAUCUCUGCCCUAUGUCGGCUGGCUAUCGGAUUUGCUUAGUUGACUAAGAUAAGCUUUGAAGGAAAACCCCGAUCAAUGGCGGCCUUACCAUGAGGGUCCUAAGGUAGCAGAAUGCCCUGGCCGUUAAAUGCGGUCUUGCAUGAAUGAUGUAACGAUACAACAGCUGUCUCAAUGAUUGGCUCAGUGAAAUUGGAAUAACUGUGCAGAUACAGUUUACCUCUAGAUGGACGAGAAGACCCUUUGCAGCUUUACUGUUUCUAGUUAUUGGGUAUGAUGGAACAAGUUUUAGUGUAUAAGGUAGUUGGUGAGAUAGAAUUGAAACACCUUUACUUCGUUUGUCAUAUUGGACUGUUCGUGAGUGGAUUGGUCUUUAACCACUUAUUAAAAAUAAAAAGUGGAACAAUUGCUAGGUGGCAGUUUAUGCGGGGCACAGAUCCCAAAAAAAGUACCAGGGAAUAUCCAAAUUUAAUUUUGUAAAAUUGCAUUUAGCAAUUAAACAGCUUUAUACUGGAAGUAAUCGUCCAAUAAGGAUGUUUUUUUAUUUUUAGUUUGUUAUUUGCUAUAGAUUUUUUAUAACUAAUUCAGUUAUUAUUCUAUUUAAGUUAGAAACAUUUAAUUUACACCCAGUAAGAUUUUUACUAUAGUCUUAGGUGUAAUUGAAACAUUAAUUAAUAAUUUACUUAUUAGUAAUGUUUCUUGUUAUUUUUUAGUUUACCUAUAUAAUAAUUUUUUUAAUAUCAAGAUAUAAUAUAUGAAAACUAGUUAAAUGAUAAUGAUUUUACAAGAAAAGUUUAAUGGCUUAAUCUUGCUUUACUGGUUGACUUACACGUCUUUCAGUCGCGUAAGCGGGGCAUAUGAUCACAAGAUGCGGAAAGGAAAGGUCUUGGAUUUUUGAAAAAGCUACGCUAGGGAUUAAAUGUUAGUCCUCCAAUGUUUUUUUUAACAAUUGGUAAUUAUUUGGGUA